rnacentral:misc_RNA from 1 species
GUAUAAGGUCUCGGGUUGUGAUGGGAUGAUUAGAAGUCUCGGGUUCUAGCUCUGAGAAUGGAAAAAAUCCUCGUAGGGAGCACUUCCUCCUUUAAUGGACCUCAAAUAGAGGGAAUCUGGAUUAGUCAGGAUCCCAAAGUGGUACCGGACAUGCGGGAAACCCAAGAAAAAUCAAUCAUAAAAGAAUAUAAGGUUAUGCAUCAUUU